rnacentral:tRNA from 1 species
AAGGGUAUAGCUCAGUGGUAGAGUGCGUGCUUAGCAUGCACCAGGUCCUGGGUCAAUCCCCAGUACCUCCA